AAAUUGAAGAGUUUGAUCAUGGCUCAGAUUGAACGCUGGCGGCAGGCCUAACACAUGCAAGUCGAGCGGUAGCACAGAGAGCUUGCUCUCGGGUGACGAGCGGCGGACGGGUGAGUAAUGUCUGGGAAACUGCCUGAUGGAGGGGGAUAACUACUGGAAACGGUAGCUAAUACCGCAUAACGUCGCAAGACCAAAGUGGGGGACCUUCGGGCCUCAUGCCAUCAGAUGUGCCCAGAUGGGAUUAGCUAGUAGGUGGGGUAACGGCUCACCUAGGCGACGAUCCCUAGCUGGUCUGAGAGGAUGACCAGCCACACUGGAACUGAGACACGGUCCAGACUCCUACGGGAGGCAGCAGUGGGGAAUAUUGCACAAUGGGCGCAAGCCUGAUGCAGCCAUGCCGCGUGUGUGAAGAAGGCCUUCGGGUUGUAAAGCACUUUCAGCGGGGAGGAAGGCGUUAAGGUUAAUAACCUCAUCGAUUGACGUUACCCGCAGAAGAAGCACCGGCUAACUCCGUGCCAGCAGCCGCGGUAAUACGGAGGGUGCAAGCGUUAAUCGGAAUUACUGGGCGUAAAGCGCACGCAGGCGGUCUGUCAAGUCGGAUGUGAAAUCCCCGGGCUCAACCUGGGAACUGCAUUCGAAACUGGCAGGCUAGAGUCUUGUAGAGGGGGGUAGAAUUCCAGGUGUAGCGGUGAAAUGCGUAGAGAUCUGGAGGAAUACCGGUGGCGAAGGCGGCCCCCUGGACAAAGACUGACGCUCAGGUGCGAAAGCGUGGGGAGCAAACAGGAUUAGAUACCCUGGUAGUCCACGCCGUAAACGAUGUCGAUUUGGAGGUUGUGCCCUUGAGGCGUGGCUUCCGGAGCUAACGCGUUAAAUCGACCGCCUGGGGAGUACGGCCGCAAGGUUAAAACUCAAAUGAAUUGACGGGGGCCCGCACAAGCGGUGGAGCAUGUGGUUUAAUUCGAUGCAACGCGAAGAACCUUACCUACUCUUGACAUCCACAGAAUCUGGUAGAGAUACCUCAGUGCCUUCGGGAACUGUGAGACAGGUGCUGCAUGGCUGUCGUCAGCUCGUGUUGUGAAAUGUUGGGUUAAGUCCCGCAACGAGCGCAACCCUUAUCCUUUGUUGCCAGCGGUCCGGCCGGGAACUCAAAGGAGACUGCCAGUGAUAAACUGGAGGAAGGUGGGGAUGACGUCAAGUCAUCAUGGCCCUUACGACCAGGGCUACACACGUGCUACAAUGGCAUAUACAAAGAGAAGCGACCUCGCGAGAGCAAGCGGACCUCAUAAAGUAUGUCGUAGUCCGGAUUGGAGUCUGCAACUCGACUCCAUGAAGUCGGAAUCGCUAGUAAUCGUAGAUCAGAAUGCUACGGUGAAUACGUUCCCGGGCCUUGUACACACCGCCCGUCACACCAUGGGAGUGGGUUGCAAAAGAAGUAGGUAGCUUAACCUUCGGGAGGGCGCUUACCACUUUGUGAUUCAUGACUGGGGUGAAGUCGUAACAAGGUAACCGUAGGGGAACCUGCGGUUGGAUCACCUCCUUA
rnacentral:rRNA from 1 species